rnacentral:rRNA from 1 species
UACACUCCUGCGGGAGGCAGCAGUGGGGAAUAUUGCACAAUGGGCGCAAGCCUGAUGCAGCCAUGCCGCGUGUAUGAAGAAGGCCUUCGGGUUGUAAAGUACUUUCAGCGGGGAGGAAGGCGAUAAGGUUAAUAACCUUGUCGAUUGACGUUACCCGCAGAAGAAGCACCGGCUAACUCCGUGCCAGCAGCCGCGGUAAUACGGAGGGUGCAAGCGUUAAUCGGAAUUACUGGGCGUAAAGCGCACGCAGGGGGUCUGUCAAGUCGGAUGUGAAAUCCCCGGGCUCAACCUGGGAACUGCAUUCGAAACUGGCAGGCUAGAGUCUUGUAGAGGGGGGUAGAAUUCCAGGUGUAGCGGUGAAAUGCGUAGAGAUCUGGAGGAAUACCGGUGGCGAAGGCGGCCCCCUGGACAAAGACUGACGCUCAGGUGCGAAAGCGUGGGGAGCAAACAGGAUUAGAAACCCGUGUAGUCCC